rnacentral:rRNA from 1 species
GGGUUGUGAGGUUAAGCGACUAAGCGUACACGGUGGAUGCCUAGGCAGUCAGAGGCGAUGAAGGGCGUGCUAAUCUGCGAAAAGCGUCGGUAAGGUGAUAUGAACCGUUAUACCCGACGAUACCCGAAUGGGGAAACCCAGUGUGAUACGUCACACUAUUGCAUGGUGAAUACAUAGCCAUGCAAGGCGAACCGGGGGAACUGAAACAUCUAAGUACCCCGAGGAAAAGAAAUCAACCGAGAUUCCCCCAGUAGCGGCGAGCGAACGGGGAAGAGCCCAGAACCUGAAUCAGUUUGUGCAUUAGUGGAAGCGUCUGGAAGGUCGCACAGUAUAGGGUGAUAGUCCCGUACACAAAAAUGCACUUAUUGUGAGUUCGAUGAGUAGGGCGGGACACGUGACAUCCUGUCUGAAUAUGGGGGGACCAUCCUCCAAGGCUAAAUACUCCUGACUGACCGAUAGUGAACCAGUACCGUGAGGGAAAGGCGAAAAGAACCCCGGCGAGGGGAGUGAAAUAGAACCUGAAACCGUGUACGUACAAGCAGUGGGAGCCUACUUGUUAGGUGACUGCGUACCUUUUGUAUAAUGGGUCAGCGACUUAUAUUUUGUAGCAAGGUUAACCGAAUAGGGGAGCCGUAGGGAAACCGAGUCUUAACUGGGCGUCAAGUUGCAAGGUAUAGACCCGAAACCCGGUGAUCUAGCCAUGGGCAGGUUGAAGGUUGGGUAACACUAACUGGAGGACCGAACCGACUAAUGUUGAAAAAUUAGCGGAUGACUUGUGGCUGGGGGUGAAAGGCCAAUCAAACCGGGAGAUAGCUGGUUCUCCCCGAAAGCUAUUUAGGUAGCGCCUCGUGAACUCAUCUUCGGGGGUAGAGCACUGUUUCGACUAGGGGGCCAUCCCGGCUUACCAACUCGAUGCAAACUACGAAUACCGAAGAAUGUUAUCACGGGAGACACACGGCGGGUGCUAACGUCCGUCGUGAAGAGGGAAACAACCCAGACCGCCAGCUAAGGUCCCAAAGUCAUGGUUAAGUGGGAAACGAUGUGGGAAGGCAUAGACAGCCAGGAUGUUGGCUUAGAAGCAGCCAUCAUUUAAAGAAAGCGUAAUAGCUCACUGGUCGAGUCGGCCUGCGCGGAAGAUGUAACGGGGCUAAACCAUGCACCGAAGCUGCGGCAGCGACGCUUAGGCGUUGUUGGGUAGGGGAGCGUUCUGUAAGCCGUUGAAGGUGGCCUGUGAGGGUUGCUGGAGGUAUCAGAAGUGCGAAUGCUGACAUAAGUAACGAUAAUGCGGGUGAAAAACCCGCACGCCGGAAGACCAAGGGUUCCUGUCCAACGUUAAUCGGGGCAGGGUGAGUCGACCCCUAAGGCGAGGCUGAAAAGCGUAGUCGAUGGGAAACAGGUUAAUAUUCCUGUACUUGGUGUUACUGCGAAGGGGGGACGGAGAAGGCUAGGCUGGCCGGGCGACGGUUGUCCCGGUUCAAGCGUGUAGGGGUGU